AGUUUUAUUUUUGCACUGCGCAUAAUUGCCCCAAUAAAUCUGGGGUGUUAAAGUAAGGAAAUGGAAAUCGACCGAACAAAGAAUAUUUACGUUUUAUUUUCUGUUUUUAAAAUAUCUAAUUUGCCGUUAACCCAUUUCCUUAAAAGAAGACGGCUAAAUAUAUAAGAUAUUAUAAGAUAAGAUAAUGUAUAGACAAAAAUCUAUCAUUGUUUGUUUUACAAUAGUGGAAUUAAACCAAAAGAAUUGAAUUACACCAAAAGAGGAAAUAUUAUCAACAAUUACGCGUUUAAUUUUUCAGCAUUUGCACACUACAUUUAUAUUUCUUUUUAUCUUAUCGACGUAAAAUAUAUAGAAUAAACUGUAUAUCUAUGAUUUAUCUAUACAAGCGUUUUGUAAACAAGAUAAGAACUGUAUAAUACUGAUAAAGAACGCUGGACUGACACGCACAUAUAGACUGAAAUAGGGAAAUAUAUUUAAGGAUUUUUUUUUAUGUUCUGGGAUCAGAAACAGACAAAAUAGGUACGACGGCAAGUGCAAGUGACUUAAGUCGGGAUGGGGAAGAUGGCGCCAUGUCUCGACGAAACAGCGCCACACAAGAAAAUGCCACGAGCAAGGUUACAUUUAAAACGGAAUCUCACGAGAAAAACGUGCUACGUGAAAUAUUCAGCGAGGAGUCCUUGCUAGAGAAGAGCAGAAAAAGUUUUAACGCUGACAUGAGGAUGUUUGCCAUUAUGUUUGAAGAGUCGCAUAUAACCGAUAAAGACAGAAGAAAUCCGAAAUGAAUCGAUCAUCUGCGCUCGGACGUCAACGCUUAAUCAUAACAUUGGUGCUGACAGACUUGUUCAUUAACCGUUAGCAUAAAUCAAUGUUUGAAUGUUGACAGACUUGUUCAUUAACCGUUAGCAUAAAUCAGUGUUUGAAUGUUGACAGACUUGUUCAUUAAACGUUAGCAUAAAUCAAUGUUUGAAUGUUGACAGACUUGUUCAUUAAACGUUAGCAUAAAUCAGUGUUUGAAUGUUGACAGACUUGUUCAUUAACCGUUAGCAUAAAUCAGUGUUUGAAUGUUGACAGACUUGUUCAUUAAACGUUAGCAUAAAUCAAUGUUUGAAUGUUGACAGACUUGUUCAUUAAACGUUAGCAUAAAUCAAUGUUUGAAUGUUGACAGACUUGUUCAUUAAACGUUAGCAUAAAUCAAUGUUUGAAUGUUGACAGACUUGUUCAUUAAACGUUAGCAUAAAUCAAUGUUUGAAUGUUGACAGACUUGUUCAUUAAACGUUAGCAUAAAUCAAUGUUUGAAUGUUGACAGACUUGUUCAUUAAACGUUAGCAUAAAUCAAUGUUUGAAUGUUGACAGACUUGUUCAUUAAACGUUAGCAUAAAUCAAUGUUGGAAUGUUGACAGACUUGUUCAUUAAACGUUAGCAUAAAUCAAUGUUUGAAUGUUGACAGACUUGUUCAUUAAACGUUAGCAUAAAUCAAUAUUGGAAUGUUGACAGACUUGUUCAUUAAACGUAGCAUAAAUCAAUGUUACAACGUAUCAUAAUCGUAUAUCACUUGACUGUUUAACAGAACUUGUUAUAGAUUGACUUAAUCCAAGGCUACAAGGAACGCUGGGUAUAAAUGUAUCUGCAGUAUAUACUGUACAUAUGUAUAUGUCAACUGCAGUAUAUACUGUACAUAUGUAUAUGUCAACUGCAGUAUAUACUGUACAUAUGUAUAUGUCAACAUAUCUUAUAUGCAUUGCAUCUUUAUACAUAUUAAACAAUCAUGAGUAAUUUAUGAAAUUUUAUUGAAAUUCAAUUUCUUAAAAUG